CCAGGCAGUAGUAGCUUUUACAACAGGCCGGAUCAGGUUGCAGAGAAUUACCGCUCCACACAGAUCUCCAGCAAUAUAUCACUAGAUUGCAGAACAGCCACAGCAAGAGGUGAUGGAGAAUGGGCUGCAGAUCAAGGAUCAGAAGCCGCUGAAGCUGGAAAUUAUUCAAGCUCUGACACAGCAGAAGAUGCUGAUGGAAUUUCUGUUUCAUUAACUCCGCCGCUGCCACCAGAUGAAAUUGGGGCGCAAUUUCAGAAUAACUCUGGACCCAUAGUUCCUGAGAGUUUUGAGGAGCAGAUGAU
rnacentral:misc_RNA from 1 species